rnacentral:rRNA from 1 species
UUAGGGGGUUUCCGCCCCUUAGUGCUGCAGCUAACGCAUUAAGCACUCCGCCUGGGGAGUACGACCGCAAGGUUGAAACUCAAAGGAAUUGACGGGGGCCCGCACAAGCGGUGGAGCAUGUGGUUUAAUUCGAAGCAACGCGAAGAACCUUACCAGGUCUUGACAUCCUUUGACCACUCUGGAGACAGAGCUUUCCCUUCGGGGACAAAGUGACAGGUGGUGCAUGGUUGUCGUCAGCUCGUGUCGUGAGAUGUUGGGUUAAGUCCCGCAACGAGCGCAACCCUUGAUUUUAGUUGCCAGCAUUUAGUUGGGCACUCUAAAGUGACUGCCGGUGCAAGCCGGAGGAAGGUGGGGAUGACGUCAAAUCAUCAUGCCCCUUAUGACCUGGGCUACACACGUGCUACAAUGGAUAGUACAAAGGGUCGCGAAGCCGCGAGGUGGAGCUAAUCCCAUAAAACUAUUCUCAGUUCGGAUUGUAGGC